GUAACGGCUUACCAAGGCAACGAUACGUAGCCGACCUGAGAGGGUGAUCGGCCACACUGGAACUGAGACACGGUCCAGACUCCUACGGGAGGCAGCAGUAGGGAAUCUUCCGCAAUGGGCGAAAGCCUGACGGAGCAACGCCGCGUGAGUGAUGAAGGUCUUCGGAUCGUAAAACUCUGUUAUCAGGGAAGAACAAAUGUGUAAGUAACUGUGCACAUCUUGACGGUACCUGAUCAGAAAGCCACGGCUAACUACGUGCCAGCAGCCGCGGUAAUACGUAGGUGGCAAGCGUUAUCCGGAAUUAUUGGGCGUAAAGCGCGCGUAGGCGGUUUUUUAAGUCUGAUGUGAAAGCCCACGGCUCAACCGUGGAGGGUCAUUGGAAACUGGAAAACUUGAGUGCAGAAGAGGAAAGUGGAAUUCCAUGUGUAGCGGUGAAAUGCGCAGAGAUAUGGAGGAACACCAGUGGCGAAGGCGACUUUCUGGUCUGUAACUGACGCUGAU
rnacentral:rRNA from 1 species